GACGAACGCUGGCGGCGUGCCUAAUACAUGCAAGUAGAACGCUGAAGAGAGGAGCUUACUCUUCUUGGAUGAGUUGCGAACGGGUGAGUAACGCGUAGGUAACCUGCCUUGUAGCGGGGGAUAACUAUUGGAAACGAUAGCUAAUACCGCAUAACAAUGGAUGACACAUGUCAUUUAUUUGAAAGGGGCAAUUGCUCCACUACAAGAUGGACCUGCGUUGUAUUAGCUAGUAGGUGAGGUAAUGGCUCACCUAGGCGACGAUACAUAGCCGACCUGAGAGGGUGAUCGGCCACCCUGGGACUGAGACACGGCCCAGACUCCUACGGGAGGCAGCAGUAGGGAAUCUUCGGCAAUGGGGGCAACCCUGACCGAGCAACGCCGCGUGAGUGAAGAAGGUUUUCGGAUCGUAAAGCUCUGUUGUAAGUCAAGAACGGGUGUGAGAGUGGAAAGUUCACACUGUGACGGUAGCUUACCAGAAAGGGACGGCUAACUACGU
rnacentral:rRNA from 1 species